GGACUCUCAGACCAUGAGAAACAAGAUUCUCUGGUUUGAUGAAACCAAUAUUGAACUCUUUGGCCUGAAUGCCAAGCUUCAUGUCUGGAGGGAACCUAGCACCAUCCCUACGGUGAAGCAUUGUGGUGGCAGCAUCAUGUUGUGGGGAUGUUUUUCAGCGGCAGGGACUAGUCAGGAUCGAGGGAAAGAUGAACAGAGCAAAGUACAGAAAGAUCCUUGAGAAAAACCUGCUCCAGAGCGCUCAGGACCUCAGACUGGGCUGAAGGUUCACCUUCCAACAGGACAACGACCUGAAGCACACAGCCAAAACAACGCAGGAGUGGCUUCGGGACAGGUCUCUGAAUGUCAUUGAGUGGCCCAGCCAGAGAACGGACUUGAAUCCGAUCGAACGCUCCCCUUCCAACCUGACAGAGCUUGAGGAUCUGCAGGGAAGAAUGUGAGAAACUACCCAAAUACAGGUGCGUCAACCGUGUAACGUCAUACCCAAGAAGACUCGAGGAUAUCAUUGCUGCCAAAGGUGCUUCAACAAAGCCUCUGACAACAACAAGAGUGCCACAGUUACGGAGUCAUUCCAAGCAGCCAUCACCAGCUACAGAGUACCAUCCUGGGUGAGAAGUAUCUGUGCCUUCAUGGAGCAGUUCAGGGGUGGUGAGAGGGGAAAUGCCCUCUCACUGCCCCAGCUUCAACCACCAUCACCUCUCAAGCCACCUCCACCUCAGCAAUGCCCCUGUGACAAUAAUUUUGGACCCCCUUUUGGCCCCCCUAAAUGUGGAGUAUGAAACACAUUUUUGCUAUCGUUCUUUUUUACAUCCGUUAUUAGACAGUGGCAACGAUGAUGAUUAUGAACAUGGUUUUUUGCCUGCUAAUGCCUGCAACGCGGUGAAGAAAGCGAUAUGACAACAAUAACGUCUAAUGUAACUGGCCCCACAGUACAACUGUUAGAGGGAUUCUCUGCCUCUAACCCUAUUACAGGGGCUGAGUCACUGGCUUACUGGUGUUCUUCCAUGCCGUCCCUAGGAGGGGUGCGUCACUUGAGUGGGUUGAGUCACUGACGUAGUCUUCCUGUCUGGGUUGGCGCCCCCCCUUGGGUUGUGCCGUGGCGGAGAUCUUUGUGGGCUAUACUCAGCAUUGUCUCAGAAUGGUAAGUUGGUGGUUGGAGAUAUCCCUCCAGUGGUGUGGGGGCUGUGCUUUGGCAAAGUGGGUGGGGUUAUAUCCUGCCUGUUUGGCCCUGUCCGGGGGUUUCAUCGGAUGGGGCCAUAGUGUCUCCUGACCCCUCCUGUCUCAGCCUCCAGUAUUUAUGCUGCAGUAGUUUAUGUCUCGGGGGGGCUAGGGUCAGUCUGUUACAUCUGGAGUAUUUCUCUUGUCUUAUCCGGUGUCCUGUGUGAAUUUAAAUAUGCUCUCUCUAAUUCUCUUUCUCUCUUUCUCUCUCUCGGAGGACCUGAGCCCUAAAACCAUGCCUCAGGACUACCUGGCAUGAUGACUCCUUGCUGUCCCCAGUCCACCUGGCCGUGCUGCUGCUCCAGUUUCAACUGUUCUGCCUGCGGCGAUGGAACCCUGACCUGUUCACCGGACGUGCUACCUGUCCCAGACCUGCUGUUUUCAACUCUCUAGAGACAGCAGGAGCGGUAGAGAUACUCUCAAAGAUCGGCUAUGAACAAGCCAACUUACUCUUGAGUUGCUGACUUGUUGCACCCUCAACAACUACUGUGAUUAUUAUUAUUUGACCAUGCUGGUCAUUUAUGAACAUUUGAACAUCUUGGCCAUGUUCUGUUAUAAUCAGCACCCCGGCACAGCCAGAAGAGGACUGGCCACCCCUCAUAGCCUAGUUCCUCUCUAGGUUUCUUCCUAGGUUUUGGCCUUUCUAGGGAGUUUUUCCUAGCCACCUACUUCUACACCUGCAUUGCUUGCUGUUUGGUGUUUUAGGCUGGGUUUCUGUACAGCACUUUGAGAUAUCAGCUGAUGUAAGAAGGGCUAUAUAAAUAAAUUUGAUUUGAACUGGCCCCAGUUGAAAUGGUCUAGAACCGCCACUGCUCAUUCCUACUCCAACCUGACUUACUACACCCCUGAUAUUCCCCUACAGGGACAAGGGAUCGGACACUAUAUCGUAAGUGCCACUCGUUCCUACUCCAACCUGACUUACUACACCCCUGAAACUCCCCUACUGGGACGAGGGAUUGGACGCUAUAUCUUCAGCGCCACCCGUUCCUUCGAGUCAGUUAAUUUUUAUAAUACUAUUUGAAAUGGUAACGACUCAUAUUUUUUUCAGUCCUUGAAUCAGUUAAUUUUUAUAACACCAAUAAUAACACCACCAAUUAGGAUGCCACCAUUAGUGAACUCUUCUUCAACCAGAGCUUUGGAAAACCCUCUCCUCCUUGCACAGAAACUGUUCCCGAGGAAACACUCCCCCGCAUUCACACACUGUAUGAUUUGGUCUCUAGAAAGGUACUACAGACAUGUUCAACCCUUAACAAAGAGUGUUAAGGUGUAUGGCCCCUCGGUGGGUUCAAUACAGUACCAGUCAAAAGUUUGUACACACCUGUACAUUAGACCGGUGGAAAUCUGUCCAAAUUUGAGAUUUUUGGUUCCAACUGCUGUGUCUUUGUUAGACGCAGAGUAGGUGAACGGAAGAUCUCUGCAUGUGUGGUUCCCACCGUGAAGCAUGGAGGAGGAGGUGUGGGGGUGCUUUGCUGGUGACACUCAGUGAUUUAUUUAGAAUUCAAGCAAAACUUAACCAGAAUGGCUACCGCAGCAUUCUGCAGCGAUACUCCAUCCCAUCUGGUUUGUGCUUAGCGAGACUCUAAUUAGUUUUUCAACAGGACAAUGACCCAACACACCUCCAGGCUGUGUAAGGGCCAUUUGAGUGCUGCAUCAGAUGACCUGGCCUACACAAUCACCUAACCUGGUUUGGAAUGAGUUGGACUGCAGAGUGAAGGAAAAGCCGCCCACAAGUGUGUUGAGGUUGGGGGGUUGUGGAGGCCAGGUCAUCUGAUGCAGCGCUCCAUCACUCUCCUUCUUGGCCAAAUAGCCAAAUAAUUAGGUAUGUUGGGUCAUUGUCCUGUUGAAAAACAAAUUAGAGUCCCACUAAGACUUUUUGAAGGUUAUUUUACUGAUUUAAUGAUCAUGGACUGUUUCCCUGUGUAUAUUAGGAUACAUUUUAUUACAUUUAAAUAAUGUUUCAGUAUCUUUAGUGUCACGUCCUGACCAUAGUAAGUUGUUAUUUUCUAUGGUAGAGUGGUCAGGGCGUGACAGGGGGUGUUUAUCUGUUUUUGUAUGUCUAUGUUCAGUUCUAGAUUUUGUAUUUCUAUGUUGGUCGUUGUUUGGCAUGACCUCCAAUUAGAGGCAGCUGGUUGUUGUUGUCUCUAAUUGGAGGCCAUAUUUAAGUUGAUGUUUGUCCCACCUGUCCUUGUGCGUGAUUAUAUAUUUUGAGUAGUGUGUUUUUUUCCUCUCUGCGUCACGGUUUGUUGUUUUUUUGUUAGUUAAAGUAUUUAUGUAUUGUUUCACGGUUAUAAUAAAUAUGUGGAAC
rnacentral:lncRNA from 1 species